rnacentral:rRNA from 1 species
UGAGUACGAGCUGCUACGGCAGCGAAGUGGGUGACGUCAAGCUUCCAAGAAAAGCCCUAUACCCGUUAAGGCAUGAUGGCCUGUACCCGAAACCGACACAGGUGGGGUGGUAGAGAAUACCGAGGGGCGCGAGGUAACUCUCUCUAAGGAACUCGGCAAAAUGGCCCCGUAACUUCGGGAUAAGGGGUGCCACCGCAAGGUGGUCGCAGUGAAGAGGCCCAGGCGACUGUUUACCAAAAACACAGGUCUCCGCUAAGUCGCAAGACGAUGUAUGGGGGCUGACGCCUGCCCAGUGCCGGAAGGUUAAGGAAGCUGGUCAGCGUAAGCGAAGCUGGCGACUGGAGCCCCGGUGAACGGCGGCCGUAACGAUAACGGUCCUAAGGUAGCGAAAUUCCUUGUCGGGUAAGUUCCGACCCGCACGAAAGGCGUAACGAUCUGGGCGCUGUCUCGGAGAGAGGCUCGGCGAAAUAGAAUUGUCUGUGAAGAUGCGGACUACGUGCACCUGGACAGAAAGACCCUAUGAAGCUUUACUGUAGCUUGGUAUUGUGCCCGGGCUCGCAAUGCGCAGGAUAGGUGGGAGGCUUUGAUCAUCGGCUUGCGGGUCGAUGUGAGCCAACGGUGAGAUACCACUCUUUGCGAGCUAGGGUUCUAACGGUCACCCGUUAUCCGGGGACCGGACAGUAUCAGGUGGGCAGUUUGACUGGGGCGGUCGCCUCCUAAAAGGUAACGGAGGCGCGCAAAGGUUUGCUCAGGCUGGUUGGAAAUCAGCCGACGAGUGUAAAAGCAGAAGCAAGCUUGACUGUGAGACCUACAAGUCGAACAGGGACGAAAGUCGGCUUUAGUGAUCCGACGGUUCUGAGUGGAAGGGCCGUCGCUCAACGGAUAAAAGUUACUCUAAGGAUAACAGGCUGAUCUCCCCCAAGAGUUCACAUCGACGGGGAGGUUUGGCACCUCGAUGUCGGCUCAUCGCAACCUGGGGCUGAAGUCGGUCCCAAGGGUUGGGCUGUUCGCCCAUUAAAGCGGUACGCGAGCUGGGUUCAGAACGUCGUGAGACAGUUCGGUCCAUAUCCGGUGCACGCGCAGGAACAUUGAGAGGAGUUCUCCCUAGUACGAGAGGACCGGGAGGAACGCACCUCUGGUGUACCAGUUAUCGUGCCAACGGUAAACGCUGGGUAGCCAUGUGCGGAGUGGAUAACCGCUGAAAGCAUCUAAGUGGGAAGCCCACCUCAAGAUGAGUGUUCCCAUGGCUUAAGCCAGUAAGGUCACGGGAAGAACACCCGUUGAUAGGCUCUACGUGGAAGCGCAGUAAUGUGUGAAGCGGAGGAGUACUAAUAGACC